CCCCUAGAUGUUCUGGGCCGCACGCGCGCUACACUGAACAGUUCAACAAGUCUUAACCUUGGCCGAUAGGUCUGGGUAAUCUUUGAACGCUGUUCGUGAUUGGGAUAGACCUUUGCAAUUAUGGGUCUUCAACGAGGAAUUCCUAGUAAACGCAAGUCAUCAGCUUGCAUUGAUUACGUCCCUGCCCUUUGUACACACCGCCCGUCGCACCUACCGAUUGAAUGGUCCGGUGAAUUCUUCGGACUGUGGCUUUGGAUCGGUUUCGGCCGAGACGCUGCCGUGGGAAGUUGUUUAAACCUUACCAUUUAGAGGAAGGUGAANUCGUAACA
rnacentral:rRNA from 1 species